GAGAGUAGCUUGCUACUUUGCUGACGAGCGGCGGACGGGUGAGUAAUGCUUGGGAAUAUGCCUUAUGGUGGGGGACAACAGUUGGAAACGACUGCUAAUACCGCAUGAUGUCUACGGACCAAAGUGGGGGACCUUCGGGCCUCACGCCAUAAGAUUAGCCCAAGUGGGAUUAGCUAGUUGGUGAGGUAAUGGCUCACCAAGGCGACGAUCCCUAGCUGGUUUGAGAGGAUGAUCAGCCACACUGGGACUGAGACACGGCCCAGACUCCUACGGGAGGCAGCAGUGGGGAAUAUUGCACAAUGGGCGCAAGCCUGAUGCAGCCAUGCCGCGUGUGUGAAGAAGGCCUUCGGGUUGUAAAGCACUUUCAGUAAGGAGGAAAGGUUAAGUGUUAAUAGCACUUAGCUGUGACGUUACUUACAGAAGAAGCACCGGCUAACUCCGUG
rnacentral:rRNA from 1 species